rnacentral:tRNA from 1 species
GGGCGCUUGGUCUAGGGGUAUGAUUUUCGCUUCGCAUCAUUCAAAACGAGCCCAUGUGAAAGGUCGUGGGUUCAAUUCCCACAGCGUCCA